rnacentral:ncRNA from 1 species
UCACCAUCGGGAUGCGACGAUCCCCGCGGCGACUUCUAUCGGUUGCCAUGGUGUCAGCGGUGCCGCAACGGCACGCGCACCAGGCCGCGGGGCUAGCGAGUGGCGAGACCGGCCCGGACA